AGGAAAGGAGAGAAGGGCGCAUGAAGGAUGCCUAGGCUCUCGGAGGCGACGAAGGACGUGACAAGCUGCGAUAAGCCGCGCGUAGGGGCAAAUACCCGUUGAUGCGCGGAUUUCCGAAUGGGGCAACCCGCCGGGCGCGAGCCCGGCACCUGGCCGAGCUAGGGGCGAACCCGGGGAACUGAAACAUCUAAGUACCCGGAGGAAGAGAAAACAAACCAGUGAUUGCGCAAGUAGCGGCGAGCGAACGCGCAGGAGCCCAAACCGGGGGCGUCGCAAGGCGCCGUCCGGGGUUGUAGGACCGACGACAAAGCGUAGCGUGAAGGUUAGCCGAACCGUCUGGAAAGGCGGGCCGUAGCGGGUGAAAGCCCCAUAGGCGAAAACCGGGCAGCCCCAGACCGUAGGCGAGGAGACCGUCAUAGAGGCCAGCGUCCCAGUGGCUGCCUUCGGCGACUAC
rnacentral:rRNA from 1 species